rnacentral:sRNA from 1 species
UCAAUUUCAAACAGUGGUGGGGCAAUUGUUGGUUCAACUGGACUGGUUGUAACGGUAGGAGUUGAUUCCGCCA